ACAUCUGACCACAGAUGUUUAUAAGAUCAAGAUACUGGACUCUGUUACAGUACCAGACCAACUCCACAUACUACAUCAUGAACAGGUCUGUGUGAUGGAGGUCUGUGUGGUUGAGGUGAUGGAGGUCUGUGAGGUAGGUCUGUGUGAUGGAGGUCUGUGUGGUUGAGGUGAUGGAGGUCUGUGUGGUUGAGGUGAUGGAGGUCUGUGUGAUGAAGGUCUGUGUGAGGUAGGUCUGUGUGAUGGAGGUGAUGGAGGUCUGUGUGGUUGAGGUGAUGGAGGUCUGUGUGAUGGAGGUCUGUGUGGUUGAGGUGAUGGAGGUCUGUGUGGUUGAGGUGAUGGAGGUCUGUGUGAUGAAGGUCUGUGUGAGGUAGGUCUGUGUGAUGGAGGUCUGUGUGGUUGAGGUGAUGGAGGUUUGUGUGGUUGAGGUGAUGGAGGUCUGUGUGGUUGAGGUGAUGGAGGUCUGUGUGGUUGAGGUGAUGGAGGUCUGUGUGAUGGAGGUCUGUGUGGUUGAGGUGAUGGAGGUCUGUGUGAUGAAGGUCUGUGAGGUAGGUCUGUGUGAUGGAGGUCUGUGUGAUGGAGGUCUGGGUGCAGUAUCUCAUCCUAUCAUACAUCAAGAAUCAGACGGUGUUUUCAGAGGUUCAUCUCUGGUUGUGAUGACCGCUGACCUUUGACCUCUGACACAAAAUGAACUCAAAACGUUUUGGUCAGCCUGUGAUGUCAUAGCUGACUCCUCCCCUUCCUGCUUUGUGACCUUUGACCUUUGAAGGUAUUUUUUUACAGUGUAUUAGAUUCGUAAAGGUUCAUUUGAUACCAUGAUCAUUUUGUAUUUUUUAUAGUUUUUGUAUUCUGGCAGUGUUAGCAUCCGUGAGCUAAGUGUGUAGCGACAGUUCAGCCUCCACGAACCACAGGCAGCCCAGGAACCACGGGCAGCCCAGGAACCACAGGCAGUCCACGAACCACAGGCAGCCCAGGAAGUCCAUAAACCUGCAGGUCCUCCAGAGUCCACUAGAGUGUAGCCAGGUGUUAGCCAGGUGUUAGCUAGGUGUUAGCCAGGUGUUAGGGGGUUAGCCAGGUGUUGGCUAGGUGUUAGCAAGGUGUUAGUCAGGUGUUAGCCAGGUGUUAGGGGGUUAGCCAGGUGUUGGCCAGGUGUAAGGUGGUUAGCCAGGUGUUAGCCAGGUGUUAGCCAGGUGUUAGGGGGUUAGCCAGGUGUUAGCCAGGUGUUAGCCAGGUAUUGGCCAGGUGUAAGGUGGUUAGCCAGGUGUUAGCCAGGUGUUAGGGGGUUAGCCAGGUGUUAGCAAGGUGUUAGCCAGGUGUUAAGGUGUUAGCCAGGUGUUAGAGGGGUUAGGGUUUUCAUCAGAUUGUGGGUCCUGCAGGCUGAACUGUUUCUGUAGCAGUCAUUGUGUUUCUAUCCUCGGAUGCACUUGAGCCAACAUGGAGGGUAUGAACUGUUUUUUGCCCAGAAUGCUUUGCAGACUGUGUAGAAAAAGGGGUUUCCAUGGCAACAGUGCAUCUGUUGUUGUUCCUGUGGUGAAUGUAAAUCUUGUGAUGAAAUCAGCAUGAAUAAACUGUACGGAGAAACAUGA